GACGAACGCUGGCGGCGUGCUUAACACAUGCAAGUCGAACGGAAAGGCCCUGCUUUUGUGGGGUGCUCGAGUGGCGAACGGGUGAGUAACACGUGAGUAACCUGCCCUUGACUUUGGGAUAACUUCAGGAAACUGGGGCUAAUACCGGAUAGGAGCUCCUGCUGCAUGGUGGGGGUUGGAAAGUUUCGGCGGUUGGGGAUGGACUCGCGGCUUAUCAGCUUGUUGGUGGGGUAGUGGCUUACCAAGGCUUUGACGGGUAGCCGGCCUGAGAAGGUGACCGGCCACAUUGGGACUGGGAUACGGACCAGACUCCUACGGGAGGCAACAGUGGGGAAUAUUGCACAAUAAGCGGAAGCCUGAUGCAGCAACGCCGCGUGCGGGAUGACGGCCUUCGGGUUGUAAACCGCUUUCGCCUGUGACGAAGCGUGAGUGACGGUAAUGGGUAAAGAAGCACCGGCGAACUACGUG
rnacentral:rRNA from 1 species